AACGCGUGAGAACCUGCCUUGGGGUCUGGGAUAGCUGCGGGAAACUGCAGGUAACACCGGAUACGCACGAGAGUGGAAAGUUUACGCCCUGGGAUGGGCCCGCGUCGGAUUAGGUAGUUGGUGGGGUAGCGGCCUACCAAGCCUGCGAUCCGUAACCGGUCUGAGAGGAUGAUCGGUCACACUGGGACUGAGACACGGCCCAGACUCCUACGGGAGGCAGCAGUGGGGAAUCUUGGACAAUGGGGGCAACCCUGAUCCAGCGACGCCGCGUGGGUGAUGAAGGCCUUCGGGUCGUAAAGCCCUUUUGCCGGGGAAGAUGAUGACGGUACCCGGAGAAGAAGCACCGGCUAACUCUGUGCCAGCAGCCGCGGUAAGACAGAGGGUGCUAGCGUUGUUCGGAAUUACUGGGCGUAAAGGGCGCGUAGGCGGCUCGUUUAGUCGGGUGUGAAAUCCCGGGGCUCAACCCCGGAACUGCAUUCGAUACUGGCGGGCUAGAGACCGAGAGAGGUGGGUGGAAUACCCAGUGUAGAGGUGAAAUUCGUAGAUAUUGGGUGGAACACCGGUGGCGAAGGCGGCUCACUGGCUCGGUUCUGACGCUG
rnacentral:rRNA from 1 species